rnacentral:ncRNA from 2 species
CAUGGGUGGGACGCGAAAGGUUCCGGCCCAUGCCGGAGGAGACAAGGGAAUGCAGUGCGGCCCGCGCGCCAAAUCUGUAGCUGCCCCCGCAACUGUAAGCGGCGAGUAGGGCCGACGACGCCACUGGAGCGAUCCGGGAAGGCCGGCCUGUCGCGAUGACCCGCAAGCCAGGAGACCUGCCUGUCGCGACGAUGAAAC